UUAAGCAGCAAAUCGGUGUGUAUUCCGCA
rnacentral:piRNA from 1 species